AGCUUUGCGCAGUGGCAGUAUCGUAGCCAAUGAGGUUUAUCCGAGGCGCGAUUAUUGCUAAUUAAAAAAGCAGAGUACAGAAUAAUGUAUAUAGUAUGCUACUCUUGUGAGUGAGAAGAAGAAUGAUAAUGAUAGUAUUUAUUUGUAUCUAUUUACAAAUA
rnacentral:snRNA from 1 species